GUUUUACCAAACAGCACAGCGUCCUCUAGUGAGUUCAUUCCUGUAAAUGCAUAUAGCAAAACAAUCUGAUUCCAGCCGUUUCUGCCAUUCUGGAAACUAAACAGCGCGUGAAAGUGCAUCUGAUUGUAAUAAGAAAGCACGUGAGCAUUUAGUGAGGAACUGACAUGAAACUGGCAUACAGUGAUGCUGAAAGUGUAUUUGAAAAUCAAUUCAAUUUGGAAUGGUCGCACAACCCUGAUUUGAAGAAGAGCAAUGGAAGGAAGGUGUGGAAACUGAAACAGAGGGAGAGAGAGAGAGCUGCAGCCCAUAAAGCAGCUCUAAGCAGCAGGGCACCCCCGUCUGGUGGCUGCAGGAAAUGAUGUGGCGUGUGUUUGAGUCUGGGUUAUACAUUGGCAGAGGAGACAAUCAUAGAUAAAGUGGUGCCCAUUUUGAUGAUCUUGCCCAGGACCCCACCACAAAGACGUAGGAAGCAGAGUAAGAGUGGAAGGGAAGCAGUUUUCGGUGCUGCUGCUGACGUUGUGAAUCUGUGGACAUUUGGAUCCUAUAACAUAGGCCAAACCUGAUCCACACACAGUGGCAAAAGAUCUCUGUGCAUCAUCGUUUGGGAGCGAUCUGAAAUGUCAAAGGUGUCCUUUUGAUGUCGGGUAUGGGCCUCAUGCAAGGCAGCACCUGUGUGGGACGCCGUCUGAUUGUGUGUAUGUGCGUGUGUGUGUGUGCGUGUCAUAUUCACAUCCAAACUGUCAGGCUGCUCCUAUGGGAGCAAGGGAUAGUGAACAGAUGAAAACAAACUGGGGUUGUGCUAUCACCUGCUUUCUCCCUCUCACUGUCUCUCAUUUAGUAAGAGAAGUGAUUGUUAUAGUUUGAUGGGUAUUGAAUGUUUAAGAUGUAGAUCUCUUUGAUCCUGAUAUGGUACAAUCUGGCUUACACUGAAACCCUUCCCAAUGUGUGCUGGAAUGCCUGUUUUACUAUCAGUCCAACCAUCAAAGUCCUCUCCACAAUAAAUGAAUGAAUGAAUAUGUGUGUGUGUGUGUGUGUGUGUUUUGAAUUUGUGUGAACCUGUGUACCAUACCAUAACAUAUGCGUGUUGUGAAUAUGAACUCUUAUCCACUCCAUCUGCUGGUCAAUUAGAUGAAUACACAGCAAAAUUCCCAAACCUUACAGUCUUACAGAAUAGUCCUUUCACAUUUUUAAACAAAUCUAGCUUGUUUGUAUGAAACUACGGUACAAACAAGCAAAAUGCAAAUUGCAAAUACAAAAUAAAACAUACAAAUACAAAUGAGCUUUUAAUCAUGCCAUUGGUUUUACUUUCUUAUAAGCCAGUCCAGCAAACAAGUGAA